GUACGUAGGGGGCGAGCGUUGUCCGGAAUGGUUGGGCGUAAAGGGCGCGUAGGCGGCGCGGUAAGUCUGGAGUGAAAGUCCUGCUUUCAAGGUGGGAAUUGCUUUGGAUACUGCCGCGCUUGAGUGCAGGAGAGGUUAUCGGAAUUCCCGGUGUAGCGGUGAAAUGCGUAGAGAUCGGGAGGAACACCAGUGGCGAAGGCGGGUAACUGGACUGCAACUGACGCUGAGGCGCGAAAGUGUGGGGAGCAAACAGGAUUAGAUACCCUGGUAGUCCACACUGUAAACGAUGAAUGCUAGGUGUAGGGGGUAUCGACCCCUUCUGUGCCGCAGUCAACACAAUAAGCAUUCCGCCUGGGGAGUACGGCCGCAAGGUUGAAACUCAAAUGAAUUGGCGGGG
rnacentral:rRNA from 1 species